GAUCCUGCUCAGGACGAACGCUGGCGGCGUGCUUAACACAUGCAAGUCGAACGGAGCACCCUUGACUGAGGUUUCGGCCAAAUGAUAGGAAUGCUUAGUGGCGGACUGGUGAGUAACGCGUGAGGAACCUGCCUUCCAGAGGGGGACAACAGUUGGAAACGACUGCUAAUACCGCAUGACGCAUGACCGGGGCAUCCCGGGCAUGUCAAAGAUUUUAUCGCUGGAAGAUGGCCUCGCG
rnacentral:rRNA from 1 species